rnacentral:lncRNA from 1 species
AGUGAUCUCAGUAUUCCCAGCAGAUUCCAACUCAGUGCGGGUAGCAACCCACCAAUCAUCAGCUUCCUCUGACAGCAUAUGUGUACCGAACCUGACCUUCUGGUUAUCAGCACACUCAGUUACUCUGAAGAUCCUCUCGAUCUCCUUCAACCACUUCUGAGCACCAUCUGGAUCGUAUGCUCCCUUGAACAUUGGAGGAUUGUUCUUCUGGAACUCACUCAGUUGAC